ensembl:rRNA 5S_rRNA 5S ribosomal RNA
GUUCAUGGCCAUACCACCCUGAGUGUACCUGAUAUUGAAAGCUAAGUAGGGUUGGGCCUGGUUAGUACUUGAGUAGGAGAAAGGGGUGGUGGUGGCUU